rnacentral:rRNA from 1 species
GUUUUGUUACGACGGUAGUGUCUGAGGCUCGCUGCAGACCUGAAGCUUGAUAUCGAAUUCGCGUGUCGCCCUUAGAGUUUGAUCCUGGCUCAGGACGAACGCUGGCGGCGUGCUUAACACAUGCAAGUCGAACGAUGAACCACUUCGGUGGGGAUUAGUGGCGAACGGGUGAGUAACACGUGGGCAAUCUGCCCUUCACUCUGGGACAAGCCCUGGAAACGGGGUCUAAUACCGGAUAACACUCCUGUCCUCAUGGGCGGGGGUUAAAAGCUCCGGCGGUGAAGGAUGAGCCCGCGGCCUAUCAGCUUGUUGGUGAGGUAAUGGCUCACCAAGGCGACGACGGGUAGCCGGCCUGAGAGGGCGACCGGCCACACUGGGACUGAGACACGGCCCAGACUCCUACGGGAGGCAGCAGUGGGGAAUAUUGCACAAUGGGCGAAAGCCUGAUGCAGCGACGCCGCGUGAGGGAUGACGGCCUUCGGGUUGUAAACCUCUUUCAGCAGGGAAGAAGCGAAAGUGACGGUACCUGCAGAAGAAGCGCCGGCUAACUACGUGCCAGCAGCCGCGGUAAUACGUAGGGCGCAAGCGUUGUCCGGAAUUAUUGGGCGUAAAGAGCUCGUAGGCGGCUUGUCACGUCGAUUGUGAAAGCCCGAGGCUUAACCUCGGGUCUGCAGUCGAUACGGGCUAGCUAGAGUGUGGUAGGGGAGAUCGGAAUUCCUGGUGUAGCGGUGAAAUGCGCAGAUAUCAGGAGGAACACCGGUGGCGAAGGCGGAUCUCUGGGCCAUUACUGACGCUGAGGAGCGAAAGCGUGGGGAGCGAACAGGAUUAGAUACCCUGGUAGUCCACGCCGUAAACGGUGGGAACUAGGUGUUGGCGACAUUCCACGUCGUCGGUGCCGCAGCUAACGCAUUAAGUUCCCCGCCUGGGGAGUACGGCCGCAAGGCUAAAACUCAAAGGAAUUGACGGGGGCC